rnacentral:rRNA from 1 species
GACGAACCGAGCGAACGUUAUUCGGAAUCACUGGGCUUAAAGGGCGCGUAGGCGGGCCAUCAAGUCAGGGGUGAAAGCCCCCAGCUCAACUGGGGAAGUGCCUUUGAUACUGGUGGUCUCGAGGGGGAUAGGGGCAUGCGGAACUUCCGGUGGAGCGGUGAAAUGCGUAGAUAUCGGAAGGAACACCGGUGGCGAAAGCGGCGUGCUGGAUCCCUUCUGACGCUGAGGCGCGAAAGCCAGGGGAGCGGAACGGGG